AUGAAGGGAGAAUGACGAGACGAUUUUCGAGCUGCUGGUUUGAUGCCCAAUAAAAAAUAAGAAGAGAGCCAACGAGGGGAAGGGGAAAAAAGAAAUAAGAAUCAGAUUCAAAAAGAGACACUCCUACGCAUUGUGGUGGAAGAGGUGUUACUUGUCAAGUCGACGGGGCCCCCGAGGCAAUGACAGGGCCCCGUAGGAAUUAGCAUGGGAUAAUGGGUCUGACCUUUUUUGAGAUACGAGUGAUGUGACAUCAGCCAACGAAUCAAAGUGACUGACGACACAAGCUGGACAAGGAGAGUGACACCUGACGGUUUAGGUAACGCCUCCUCGACACCUGGGCAACUUGUUGGAGGUCUUUUUGCCGAUGGUAUUACACACACCCACAUUCUUUGAUGACGAGAGAAGUGAUGAGGGAGAUCUGAUAAAUAGUGUAUCCUCCAUUCCUGGUACCUCCCCAACACCCACGUGCUAAUGUGGCCAGGGUUUCACAUCAUCUUGGGGAUCUGGAGUAUCCUGGAAAAUGCCGUCAUCGUGUUCCUGCAGAGGGAACAAGAAAGGAACAUGAUCGUUUUGGCAAUUUAUGAACAUCACAUGUCUCUUCGCUUUUUUUUCAUCGGGUUAUAAAAAAAGCAUAAUCUGCAGUUUGAAUUCGAAUAAAAGAUUACAAUUGAAAUGAACCCAGGCGCUCAUCAUUCAUCAUUGUCCAUUGGAUUUGGUUCUUUGUGGGAGAUUCGUGAGGCGAAUAUAUGUUUUUUGAUAGAGCGUUCCUUUGAUCGGUUUGGACGAUGAUAACCAUCGGAUAUUCCAAUGGCAUUUUCGACAGUGGCUCAAUGCCUUUUGACCUCAAGUCACGGUCAAAAUUGUCAGCAUCAUUCAAUGGCAAACAUUUUUUUCUUCUUUCCUUUUCAGUUUCUCUGAAAGGUUAUCAUUGCUUUU